rnacentral:tRNA from 1 species
UCCUUGGUGGCUUAGAUGGUAUAAAGAAUCUGCCUGCAAUGCAGAAGACGCAGGUUCAAUCCCUGAGUCAGGAA